UAAGCUGAAUCAAACUUUUUACUGAACUAAACUUGAUUUAGCCGAAUUACAGUCUUAAUGUUUGAUACUUUUGCGAAUUACAGUCUCGAUGUCUUUUUUUUUUUUAAUUUUUUUUAAUGCGAAUUACAGCCUCCAAAGUAGCCUUUUGACCAGUAAGUGUCCGGUUCCGUACAAUUUUAACCGUUGACCACAUUUUUUACCUUUGACUUUCUUUUUUUGUUUUUAAUUUUUUUUGAGUUUUAAUAUUUUUCACAUUUAAUUCUUUUUUGAUAACCCACAUUAGUAAUAAUUAUUAUUUCUCCCUCCCUUCAAUCCUUCCCAGCUACUGAAGUGAUUCAACACACAUUAGUAAUUUAGUGAAAUUCAGAAUCUUGAAAUUGAAUAAUAAUUUAUUAUCCUUUCCUCUAGUGGAUCAAUGUCGAUCUGGUUGAAUUCUGGGCAAAGAGAAAGAAUAACAGUUUCAAUAGAUGAUUAUCUUUUCCUCAAGUAGAUCAAUGGUUAAUUCGAAUUGGUUUAAUUCUCUAAGAUUUGUCCAAAAAAUAUUUACCAAACUACCAUUCCACGUUUGCCUAGAAAAUAUUUUGAUAAAAUUAUUAAUGGCUGAAUUCUGGGCAAGUUUUUCCAACAAUUCAACAACUUGGGGGACAUUAUCGCAAUAAAUAACACCAUUCAGUGUAUCAAAGAUGAAAGGAUUAAGUGGACCACCAAGCUUAAUUGAUUUUCCGAAAAGAGAGAAACAUAAGUCAACGUGAACCAAAUGGCAAUAACAAUUGGUAAGAAUACCAAUAGAGACUGAAGUUGGUUGAAGAAAUUAAUAAUGUUGGAAUGAGGUUGAAGGGGUUUCAAUUUGACCAUGGAAGAGAAUAGCAUAUUGAAGACAAAAACAGCAGGAAAUGGGUGUAAAGAAGCCAAUUGAUGAAAGAGGGAAAGGGGGAAUUCUAAAUCUGGAAACCCUAAUUUGGAUUGUUCUUUCACAUGAUUAAGCAGCAUUUGACGAUCAUUAAUAAUUCUAUCAAAAUAAUUUUCAAGUGGAUCAAGGGCUGAAUUCUCCAAAUUCUCCAUUAUCGCAGGAGUUGAAGAGUUGGAGUUGAGACUUGAAGGGCAAGGACCUGAAGUUAAAACCACUUCUAAGAACGCGUAGGAGCUUACUGAAUAAUUAUAUAGGCUUGGAGUCGAGAGUAAACCCCUAUGGCACCUCGACGGAGAAUGGAUAUGCGAGCGGAAGUUGAACCCAAGUUGGAGUGAUGAGAAUUCAGUCCAAAAAGUCCAAGAUCAUCAAGUUACGGUUCCUACAACACAAGCUACGGUCCAUGCUUUACUUAGCCACGCAAAUGUCAAGCAAAUGGCUGUUAAUUUCGUGGGAUUCUCUUCAAAGCAAUCCUUUAUUACUUGCCUUAAAUGGGAAGUUGAAUACAAGCAGCAACUUGAAUUCUAGCUUUAAUGCUUAAAUGGGAGUUUUUUUUAGGAGAAAUGCAAGAGUUUUUUUUAGGAGAAUAUGGACGGUUCAAAGUAGUUUAAUUAGCCAUAAUUUGCUGUUUAAAUAGCUAUUAAUAAAGGGUCAUUAUUAGCCUUAAAUGCUUAACAUUAAAAAGGCUUAAUUCUAGCUUUAGUUUAAUGCUUUGUUUUCUGAUUUUUUGUAAGGGGGAAAGUUAAAAGGCUCCUUGAAGGGGAAGUUAAAAGGUUCCUUGAGGGAAGUUAAAAGGUUCCUUGAAGACUUGUAACACUUGCAUUAUUUUUAGUAUAAAAGGAACUCAUUGCCAUGCAUUUUAGGCAAGUGAGAUUGAAAACAAAAUUCUGAUUUUCUUUGUGAAUUUCUUUGUGCUUACUUUGUGUUGCA